AUGCCUAAGUAUUUGGGAGGAUUAGGUUUUUGUGACACAGAACUGUUUAAUCUCGCCAUGUUAGCAAAGCAAUGGUGGAGGAUACUACAAGACCCAGAUUCACUUAGUGCAAGAAUCCUAAAAGCUAAAUAUUUCCCCUCAGUUAAUCUUUUGGAUUCGGAGCUAGGGUCCCAACCAUCUCAGGUUUGGCGAUCAGUACAUGCAGGGUUAGAGGUACUUAAACAGGGAUUUUUAGAGAAAAGGCAGGAGCCCGACUUUAUAAAUAAAGCCACCAGGCAGAGUACAUCACCAGCACCCGACACCCAAACAGAGUUUAAACACCAAGGAAGUUAA
rnacentral:rRNA from 1 species